GAUUUCUUUAAUCUAUAUUCAUGGGAAAUUGGAUUUGGCAUUCGUUAUGGGCGUAGUAACAAGAAUAAUAAGGGGUAUACCACGAGGCAAGACAUUGUAUGUUUGUGCGAGGUCUGCGUCUAUUCUCCUAUUAUUUUUUUGGUUCUCUUUUCGUGAUCAUAUAUUACCGUUUUCUAUCUUUUAUGUGGUUGUUAAUUUAUAUACAACUAAUUGGUUGGUUAAUUCGGGCAGGGAUCACCACGUAGUAAGAAUUGUGCGUCUGUGAGGAAUGGCUGCACAGUUAAGAUAAGGUUGCUUAGAACAAGUGAUCAUGGAUGGUACAUUAGUCGGGUUAACACAAGCCACAACCGCAAACUAUCUGAGAGGUAUGCAGAGAAGAAACAGUGGAAUUCUCACAGUAUGAUAGAUCCGAGCACUAAAUAUUUCAUCAAGAGGCUACGUGACAACAAUGUGAGUAUUGGUAGGGUUUGCAGUAUUAUAGGUGUCACAGAUAGCAGUGCCAUGAAUCCAGUCCAGAAAGAGACAAUUAGGUCAUUAUGUGCGAAGGUAGCAAGGGAAAAUAUGACUGAUGAUAUUGGUAAAACCACCAAACUUUUACGAGAAAUGAAAAACAAAGACCCACUGAUGGAAGUAAGGUUCAAGGUUGAUGAGCAGGGCACAGUUAAAUCUAUGCUUUGGUGUACUGGAAAGAACAGGAUGGAUUACAAGAAUUUUGGCGAUGUCUUUACAUUUGAUACAACCUAUCGUACUAAUUUGUAUAGCCUGCCAUUUGGGAUUUUUGUCGGUGUUAAUUGCCAUUUUCAGUCGAUUUAUAUUUGGUGGUGUUCUACUGUCGACUGAGACAGCAGAAGACUUCCAAUGGGCAUUUCAAAAUUUCAUUGAUAUAAUGGAUGGAGCAGCUCCAAUAACUAUUUUAACAGUUUUAUUGAUGUAGAUCAAUGUGCGGCAAAGGCAAAGGCAAUUCGGAUUGUUUUGCCUGGAACACGUCAUUGAUGGUGUCGGUGGCAUGUCUUGAAGAGUGCUAAGAAGAAGUUAGGGAAAGUUAAUGCGAAACAAAAGCAAUUCAAGAGUGAUUUUUAUAACCUAAUCACCAAUGAGAUUUGUGUUGAGGAUUUUGAAAGCUCGUGGAAGAAGUUGAUCACAAAGUAUGGGCUUGUGAAGAGCAAGUAUAUGCUACGGCUAUACAAGCAUAGGGAAAAAUGGGCCAAACCAUAUUUUAUGAGUGUGUUUUGUGCUGGGAUGACGAGCACGCAAAGGAGUGAAAGUGCAAAUCAUAUGCUUAAGAGGUAUAUUCAGAAGGCCGCGCCUAUGCACUUGUUUGUAAGUUCAAUGAGUUCCUUUGUGACCGGACAGAGCAAGAGGCUCGGGAGCUACAUGUCACAAAAAGGGUUACAAGGAAAAUGAGAGUCGGGGCUCCGAUCAAAGAGCAUGCUGAUUCAGUGUGUACUCGAGCUAUGUACAAGAAAUUCUAUGAUGAGUUAUUUGAGGCUGGGAAGUUUCGUGUUUAGCGGGAAGACGGCACUAACAGUUUUGUUGUUUCCCCUGUGAAAUUGAGCUCAAAUGAGGAACAAAAAAGGUAUGUGGUCACUC